GCGCCGGUGGUGUAAUGGCGUAGAGCACUCCCGCCCGAUUAGAGGGAGGUGCGGGUUCGAGUCCCACCUGGUGCC
rnacentral:tRNA from 1 species